rnacentral:rRNA from 1 species
AUUGAACGCUGGCGGCACGCUUUACACAUGCAAGUCGAACGGGCUGGGGGCAACUCCAGUCAGUGGCGAACGGGUGAGUAAUACAUCGGAACGUACCUCGUAGUGGGGGAUAACUCGGCGAAAGCCGUGCUAAUACCGCAUAUGCUCUACGGAGGAAAGCAGGGGACCGCAAGGCCUUGUGCUAUGGGAGCGGCCGAUGUCCGAUUAGCUAGUUGGUGAGGUAAUGGCUCACCAAGGCGACGAUCGGUAGCUGGUCUGAGAGGAUGAUCAGCCACACUGGGACUGAGACACGGCCCAGACUCC